AUACUUACCUGGCUAGGGAGAUGCCAUGAUUAUGAAGGUGGUUUUCCCAGGACGAGGCUUAUCCAUUGCACUUGGAUAUGCUGAACCCUGCGACUUCCCCAAAUGUGGGAAACUUGACUUCAUAAUCUGUGGCAGUGGGGGAUAUAUUUGCGCUCUCCUCUG